GGAGGAGUGGCCUGAACUUCCCAAGGCUGUGUCGGUGGAGGUGGGGGAUUGGCCUGGAGUGCCCAAGGCUGUGGAGGAGGUCCCUGUGGAGCGUCCCCGCAGACGCAUUGUCUUCAAG